AAAAUAAAAAGACAGAAAUAGUAAUUGAGGCCAUUGGACCUCAAAUUAGCGAACCCCUAAAAGCAUCGUCAUGUAAAGAAUUACUUGCAAAAUACGGUUCGUUACCUAAUGGAGCAUAUGACUUGGAAGCAAAUGGCGUUCGAUUUACUGUAUACUGCCACAUGACCCAACUAGGU